rnacentral:rRNA from 1 species
CUACGGGUGGCUCCAGUGAGGAAUAUUGCACAAUGGGGGGAACCCUGAUGCAGCAACGCCGCGUGGAGGAUGACGCAUUUCGGUGUGUAAACUCCUUUUAUAUGUCAAGAAAAUGACGGUAGCAUAUGAAUAAGCACCGGCUAACUCCGUGCCAGCAGCCGCAGUAAUACGGAGGGUGCAAGCGUUACUCGGAAUCACUGGGCGUAAAGGACGCGUAGGCGGGUUGGAAAGUCAGGUGUGAAAUCCUACAGCUUAACUGUAGAACUGCACUUGAAACUUCUAAUCUAGAGUAUGGGAGGGGGAGAUGGAAUUAGUGGUGUAGGGGUAAAGUCCGUAGAUAUCACUAGGAAUACCUAAAGCGAAGGCGAUCUCCUGGAACAUUACUGACGCUAAGGCGUGAAAGCGUGGGGAGCAAACAGGAUUAGAUACCCUGGUAGUC